UAAUAGACAACCACUAGAGUUCAGUGAGUAGAGUUGUGAUUUAAGAAGAUCACUUUAGGAGCUGUUUAUAGCUAUGUGGAGGAUGGACUAAAGUAAGGAGAAACUUGGGGCAUUGAGACCAGUUAGAAUGCUAUUUAAGUAGUCCAUACAAGAGAUGAUAAGGCCUUGAACUAGGAUGGUAAGUAGCUGUAGAGAAAAAGUAGAAAAGGUAGGAAAAAGGGAACAGAUGUGAAAGAAACACAAUGAGAGUUGAUAACUGAUUGUAUAUAACAAUAAUAUUAAUAACAUUUAAUAGCACGUUAAGAUUUGCAAAGCACUUUACAAAUAUUGACCCUUUUUAUGCUCAUAAAGCCUUGGGAGCUAGUGCUAUUGUUAUCCCCAUUUUAUAGAUGAGGAAAUUGAGGCCUAAAGAGGUUUUGGUGACUUGCCCAGCAUUAUACAGCUAUUAAGUGUCUGAAGCAAGAUUCAAACUUAGGUCUUAUUGUGGCAUUUAAAAGAGUGGAUGCCUUAAACUGUAAUAAUUAAAAUAGUUGAAGCCAUAAACUGUAAGAGUUAAAAUGGUUGAGGGUCAUAAAUGGUAGUGAUUAAAAUAGUGGAAGAUAUAAAUUGUAGUAGAUAUAAGAGUGGGUGAGUAAAUUGUGACCGCAGAAAAUAUGUUUUCACUACAGUGUCUUGUUUUAAAUGAAAUAUAAGGUGGUCGCCAGGGAAAUAUUCCCAAUUAUGAAUAUACCCAAGUCAACUGGGUUUUAUAGAAAAUUUAAUUAAUAAUACAAUGAGGAAUCAAAGAAAGAGAGAGAGAGAGAGAAAAAAAAGGAAAUAAAUGAGAAAAGAAUAGGCCGGCCCAGGCAGCCCUGGCCAACCCAGGCCUAAGCCCUAAAAGAAAAGAUCAGUCAGUCCUUAUAUCUUAAUCACUCACCAUAAGAUCUGUUCAAGAGAGGAUUCAGAGGGACAGAGUCUCCCCAGAGGGAGUUCCAGCCAGAGUCAGCCUCCCUUGAGAGACCACCUUAGAGAUUGUCCUUCUCUCAACAACCUCCUUAGAGACUGUCUUUUGAGAGAUCCAGAGAAUCCCUGUUUUUCAGCUUUUCCUUUCCUUAUAAAGGGAAAUUUUCCUUUGUCACCUCCCCUAAAUUCUUACAUCUACCAAUCACAGUAAAUGUUUUUCAAAGGACAGACCAUUCUUAGUCCACACCUAAGAAGGUGUGGAUUUUUGAGUAAUUCACACCAGGAAAGCUCUGAGUAAGUUUCCCAGUUCUUUGUUCCUUGUAAAUUCACAAGUUGCCUGACCUUUAUAGAUACUUAUCAACCUUUUUUUUAGUCUUAAAAAUAGGCAUGGCUUAAGUAUGGGUGUAAGUAUUUUUCAUUGUUCAGCAAGGAGUUUUCUCCCCUAAAGCAGGCUUAAGUACAGGUGGAGUAGAGGUCUUCACAUUUCUGAUCUAAGUAGAGUUCUCACAUUUUAGGUCUAAGUAGCUUCACUGUUUAAAAUGGGGAAUAGCCCCAAUAGGGAAUUGUCCCAAUGAAAAAUUCCCCAAUGGGGAAUUUUUUAACAUUCACAAGUCUGAGAAAUUUCAAGAUUCACAUUAUUGACUGACUUCAGUACUAUAUGCACUGUUACCUAUGUGGAGGAAUGACUCAAGGAUGACCUUAAGCCUGUAAAGCUGAGUGAAUAGGGAGGGCAGUGGUGUCCUUGACAGUAAUAGGGAAGUUCAGAAGUGGGGUGGGAUAAAGGAAAGAAAAGAUAAGUUCUGGCCAGGUCACAUUGAGUCUUAGAUGCCUAUAGAAAAUCCAGUUCCAAAUAUUAUAUUGGCAAUUGGUGAUGUAUGGGAGUGGCGCUCUCAGGAAAGACUACUCCACCAUACAUCUACUCAGCCAGGUUUCAACCCCAGGGAACAAGAUGUCCCUCCCAGGAUAAAGUCAUCAUUCCUAAUUGUAAUCUAGUUCUAAUUUCUAAUCACCACACUGCUAACUCAAGCCUUGAUUGUCACCACCUCCUUCGGCCUCCUCUUCCUUCUGGAGGACUGGAGAGUGGAGUACCAAAUUCCUCCCAUGGCUUUCCUUUCUAGAGAUGAGGAACUAGACUCUGAGCCCACUCCACUUUUUAUCUCCUACUCUGCCUGGUUUCAGCUUCAGAAAAAUAAGUUAAUGUCCCCUGGUAUCUUGGUCACAUACCACCCUUCCUGCCUCCUUUUGUGUGAUGUCUUUCCCAUAUCCUCAUUAGACUGUAAGGUCCUCGAGGGCAGAGACUGUCUUUUUUAUUAAUUGUAUAUCCAGCACUUAGCACAGUGUCUGGCACUUAGUAGUGCCAUUUAGUAGUAGAACUAAAUUAGAUUGGAGAAACUGGGACCUCUUUGUAUGUGCUGAAAAGGAUAACUUAAGCAGCUUCAAUCAGUUUAUAUUGUUUUAUGCCUUUUUAUAGCUUUAAGAUCCCUACAUGUAAUCUCAUUAGAUAUUCAACAUUAUAGUGAUAAAACCAGAUGUUCCUAAGGCUGUGGAUUCAUUUAACCUUGAUAAAAAUCACAAAAUGACUUUAGUCAUCUUUAUAUCACCAUAUAUGGUACAUAUAUACAUAUUUAUAUAUAUAUAUAUUUGCAUAUAUGUAUAUGUGGGACUCAUCUAUAGAAAGAUGAUAAUUAAACCAAUAGGAGCUAUACUAAACAAGUAUAUAAAGAGAAGAGGUCCUAGAACUGAGCUUUGGAGUUUACUCAUAAUUAGAGGACAUAAUAGGGAUGAUGAUAUAUCAGAGGAGACAGAGAGGGACUAUUGAGGCAGGUAGAAGAACCAAAAGAAAUCAGUGUCAUGAAAAUCCAGAUAGAAAAGAGAAUCUAAGAGGAGAGGGUGAGAGUGGUCAGUAGUGUUAAAUGCUACAAAGAGACCAAGAAGGAUGAGAACUGAGAAAAGGCCAUUGGAUUUGACAAGAGAUCAUUGGUAACUUUGGAGAGCAGUUUCAGUUGAGUGAUAGUAUCUGAAACCAGACUGCUAUGGAUUGAGAAGAGAAAAAAUGGAGGGGGUUCGUAUCAAUAGCUCCUCAAGGAUUUUAGUUAAGAGGAGUGUAAAGAUUAAAAUUUAGGGGAGACUGAGGCAGGUAGAAAUUAGUUUCUCGAUGCAAGGAGUAUUAUAUUUAUGAGGUUUAUUAAAGGUUGAGAAUUUAAGAAUAUACAAGUAAGAAAAGGCAUGUGCCAGGUGGGCCAUAAGGCCCACCCAAAAUUUCACUCACAUCAUGAGGUGCAUCUGUUUGUCAGCAGAGACAGGAAGUAAAGAGACCUUGCCUACAGGGAAGACCCUUUAAAUAAAAUUUUGCUCUUGUCCCAGUGAGAUUAGAGGGCAUUCUGGGAGCUAGCAAGGACGCCUGGGAUCUGUUAUUUCAUUAGCUAGGAAGCUCUUUGUCCAUCAACCAUUGAUUGCUCUGCAAUUUCUUAGGGCUAGAGAGGUGCCUGGGGUUAUAAGACUAGAGCCACUUGCCCAGGGUCAAAAAGUAAGUUUAUUUUAAUCUGCUUAGUUCUCUAUCUUCUUCCAUGAAAUCUCUCUUAAAAUUGUUUGAGAAAUUUUAUGGCCAAAAAUACAUGAAUGAGAAUAUGUAUACGCUAUAUGUAAUAGCUUACACUUGUAAGAUUUAUAAAAUAUUUUCUUUGAAAUAACCCCAAGAAGCUGGGGAUGAAAGAAUUUUUACCCCUAUUUUGCAGAUGAGAAAAAUGAGGCUUAGAGAGAUAAGUGACUUCCCUUAGUCACACAAAUGUUAAGGGCCAGAGCCAGGAUUCACACCCAGACCCUCAAACUCACACCUGUGCUCAUUGCACUAUGCCAAUUGCCUACUAUAGCAUAUCACAUAUAGAAUUUUUUCACAUUAUGGUUGCUCUGUAAAUAUUAAACUGAUGAGUAUGGUCUAACCAGACUUCCUUUGUAUUGAGUAAAAUUAUAAGAACCAUGUCCGUAUACCCACAAAUAAUGAAUUGCCCUGUUUGCUCUAAAUGAGCAGUUGGCUGAUAAUAGUUUCUGGCUAGAGUGUUUGCUGCUGGUCCAAGGACUUUCAGUUUCAGUUUGUACUGAACAAAAAAGAAUCCCAGCAUACAAAGAAUAAACUCCAGGGGAAAUAUAAGAUAUUGUCAAGAAGUGCCCAGAGAGUUUUAUGUAGCCUACAUGCAUUGCAUGCACGCAUCUUAUCUUCUAGUAAUCAUGCCAUCAAAAUAGUUUGUGUUUUACAUUGCUUUCCUCAGUAGUGGUGAUGGGUUCAUCUGGUCCAUUCCCACAUACUCAUCCAAUGUCCCUUGUGACCAUUAGUGCAUACUUCCAAUUCAGCUGGCCAACUUUUAGAGGAGUCUGUGGCCAUGAAAGCUAUUGCAAAGGUCAAAUGUCAGAGUAUCAAAGGGCGUAACUUACAAUAAUAGUGAUGGGCAGACAGAGGAAUGGUGUGAAUGGAUCAGGUGUACUGGUUGGGCCCAUGCGUGGAAAUAACCAGACGGAAUGGGACAGCCCCCCAUCCAGUAAAACCUCAUAGGGUGGGGUGGGGGUGGAUUUUUUGUUUUGUUUUGUUUUAAAUAAGGUUCUUAUCUGGGUCAAAUAGGACCAAACAUUUGGGGAAGUGAGCAAGGAGUCUGGAUCUAGGAUGUAAUUCUGAUUCGUGCUAGUUGGGAGAGGGAAGCCUCUUGGGGGAUUAACUGCUAGUCAAACUCCCCACCUCUCAAAAGGGAGUUUGGCCUAUUAUGGCUGGUUUUACUCUGGCAGUAUUGCUCCAGGGUUUAGAGCUUGUAGGAUGGAAAGGAUACUGAGGUCAUUACACUAUCCAAAUCGUACCUUUCUUUCAAAGGCCAAUUGAAUCUCACCUCCUUCAAGUAGCUUUACCAGAUUAUUGCAGCCCAAAGUAAUUUCAUUCUCCUUUGAACAAAAUGCACUUUCUGUGCAUUUUUCUUAAUUAAAUAUGUUUUUCCUCAUUGCAACUCUUGCUUUGUGGUCCCAUGUUGUUAGUUGUAUUGCUCUUUAAUUUUUCACAUUUCUUGUCUACACAGUAAAUCUUUGAAGUGCUGAUCUGGUUCUUAAUGUCCUCUGAUCCUCCACAGCAGCUGUCACAUGUUGCAUAACAUACUAUAGGCAAUCAAUAACUAUAUGUUGAUAAGUGUUUUUCCAAUUUUUCUUAUUAGCAGAUCCACUCCUAACAAGCAGCAUGCCACCUGCCAAUAAUCACACUAGGGAUUUAUUAUUGUCUCUGAAUCCUAUGAUGAAGUAGAGACAGCCUGUCAGAGUUAGACAGGCUACAGGUAUUCUCAGUUCUAGUUAACCAUUGUUCUAUUGUAUGAACAAAGUAUGAUAAAGCAGCAGCACUGGGGUGCCAGAGUUCACAGCCAUCCUUUGAAGAUAACUGUAGCAAGGUCAGGUGACACCUUCUUUGAGAAUCAAUACACAUCAUAUGCAGAAAUGCCUCCUUAGGAUUUAAGACCAUUUGAAGCUCUUUGUAGAUGGUUUCUAAAUAUAGUACCUCUUCAGAUACAUAGGCAUGCUCUUAAGAAGUAUGAAUUUUUAUAUCAGUUCACAUUUGAAAUGCAAUGAGAGCAAGCAUUUGUGGUGUCUUUGAAAAGUGAAUAAUCACCCCUAAUUUGUGUGCUUUGUAAGUAGGAAUAAAAUGAAUAAAAACACUAGAUCUAAUUUGCUCUAAAGCAAGUCCUUUGUAAACAUUUGCAUAAGUCAAAUAGUAAUAAAUUCAAUUCAACUCAUCAAAUGAUUGGGCACCUACAAUAUAUAGUAAUAUGCUAAUUGGGAAAGGACUAGAAAUUGAUUAAAAUAAGUGGAAAUCAGAGCUAGGAGCCUGGAUAACUUAAUUUGCUAAAUAAAUGAAGAGCCUUCACAGAUUUUUUUUUUUAGGGAGAAGUAAAGGACAUUCUUCCUUCUACUCCCAAACUACUACAUGCUGCUGAAGGACUUCUUUAAAAUAUUAUGAGUGGGUCCACUGCACAUUCACUACAUAUUGUCUUAUCUAAACUGGACCUUCUUCAUUGCUACACAAUAAUCCAUUGAGUUCUUCCUCUAUUAACACUUGAACACAAUCCCAUGUUCCAAACAUUCUUCUCUCUCUUCAAGUCCUCAAUUUCACCUCAAUCUUGAUGCCUCUCAAAUAAUCAUCUGGCUUUCUACUUUAUUGAGAAAAUUAAAGACAUCUGUUUGGAAUGCCCCUUAUCCCCUGCCUCAUACCUUAAAACACACUUUCUACAUUUUGAUGUGUUCUUCCAUUCCUCCAGCUUUCUUGCCAAGGCUGUCACUUCAAUUUGUGCCCUUGAACCCAUUCUCUCCCAUCUCCUCCAGCACUGUUCUGCUUCAGUCUGUUUGUUUCUGUCUCUCUCUUUCUCUGUCCCCAAGUUUGUCUCUCCCACCUUCUUACUUUCAUUUGCUCCUUGUCUGCCAACUCCUUCCCUGUUACAUACAAAUAUGCAAGAUCUACUCUCCUUUAAAAAGAAACCCAUUGCUUGAUUCUAACAUCCUCUUAAGGGUCAUCCCAUAUCUCGCUUCCCAUUGCUGCCAACUCUUAGAAUCAACACUAUUUCUCCUUCCACACUACUUGUAUCUUUUUGAAAUCCCUUGUAAUCUAACUUUUUUUAACCUUUACCUUCUUAGAAUCAAUACUAAGUACUGGUGACAAGGCGGAAGAAUAAGGGCUAGGGAACUUGGUUUAAGUGACUUGCCUGGGAUCACACAGAUCGGAAGUAUCAUAGGCCAGUUUGAACCCAGAACCUUCUGACUCUAGGCCUGACUUUCCAUCCACUGAGCCACCUAAUUGCCCCUGCAUACCUCUUUUAUGUGAAAUAAUUUUCCCCAUUCUUUCUCUUCCUUCUUCCUUUUCUUAAGGCAUCCCUCUUCUUUACUCAUCUAUUUUUUAAAUAUCAUUCCAACAUAAUUGACCUGUUCCUUCACCUUAUAUUUAUGCAAAAUCCUUCUAAUUGCCCUAAUAGUGCUAUAGUUAUUAGAAGUUAUAUGUAUUAUCUUAUAUAAAUAGAAACCAUUUAACAUUAUUGAGUCUCUUAUGAUUUCUCUUUUGUGUUUACCUUUUUAUGCUUCUCUUGAGUCUUGUAUUUGAAAGUCAAAUUUUCAAUUAGAUCUGGUCUUUUCAUCAGGAAUGCUCAAAAUUCCUAUUUUUAUAUUAUUUUCCCCUUUAGGGAUUAUAACCAGUUUUUUCUGGGAAGAUUAUUGUUAGCUACAAUCCCAGUUCUUUUGCCUUCUGGAAUACUAUAUUCCAAGCCUUCCAUUUCUUUAGUAUAGUAGCUACUAAAAUUUGUGUGAUUCUUACUGUUGCUAAUGCAGAACUGGGAGGGAACUAAAGGGUAAAGGGAUUAGAAGUUACAGAAUGGAUAAAGAGAUGAGUAGUAUUGGAAAACCAAUAGAGUGUGAUCACAUAAAGGAAUUUCAGAGUUUAUGAAUACCAAGGUGGUGCAUUUGUGAGUGAUGGCAAGAUCAAAACCAUCUUUACAUGUAUCCUGUUGGGGUGGAGUAAGUCAUGAAAAAUGAGAUUGAGGAACGCUAAGGCUAGGAUAUUUGAGAGAGUAAUAAUAUGUAUAUUGAAGUCCCCUAGUAUAAGGGCUGGGAAGAGAGAAAGAUUGUGAGCCAGGCACUGAAUUCAUUGAGGAAGGAAGAAGAGUAUCCUGAAGGAGGUUAAACAUCAACUAACAAGAUUUUAAUUGGAUAGUGGAUGUGGACUGCAUGAACCUGAAAGCUGGAGAGCUUCUUGAGUGAUGACUUGAGAAAUGACCCUAAAAGUGGUCAUGAGGACCAACUUCCCCACCUCUACAGCAAGUCCAGGGGAAUGAGUGAAAGUACAGUCAUCGCUGGAAACAGUGGCCAGGGAGGCCUUACCAUGAGGAAAGAGCCUCAUUCGUGAAAAUGAAAAGAUGGAAGACAUUGGAAAAGAAAAGAUUUAAUAAGAAUGCCCCAAAUCCAGGGUUCCCAGACAGUUCAAGUGCCCAAGUAGCUUUCCAUGAGGAGGGAGCAAACUUCUCCAAAUGUUACAUUCCUGGUUUCCAGGUGAGACAAAGUUCAGAGAAUUGGCACUAACUUGUGGCACAGAGGGGUAGCCUAGAAGGCUACUACCCCAAUCUAGAUUCAGUCCCAGAAUGCUCCUAUAGCUGCUCCCCUCCCCUGCCAAACCCUAAACUUGUGCUAAUUGCUCCACUCUUCCACAUUCUUGCCUCUUUGCUCAUCUCUGACACCUGUUUUCCUUCAGAGACAGUCUUACCUCUACAUAGUCAACAUGAGAAAUUGCUGCCAGAUAAGAGUAGGCCUUUCUUUCCCACCUACCAUCUUAUUUAUUUUCCAAUCCUCUCCUUUCAUUCUGUUUUCUUGAAAUAUCCUUAGCAUUUGUCCCCUUUGCUGCUUUAUCUGCAUUAUUUCUCCCCCAGCUGUUCCUUACAUACCCACAAUCCGAGGUUUAGACUCAACCCAAGAUACAGAGCACUCAUUAGUCAACUAAAGAAUAUUCAGAAUCUUUUCUAAAAGAACAAAAGAAGUUCAUGAAAAUUAAUGUCAUGUUAUUAAAAUAACUAAUUAUACUAACAAGUGAAGAGUUUUAAAAACUUAUCUCCCAGGGGGCAGCUAGGUAGCUCAGUGGAUUGAGAGCCAGGCCUAGAUAUGGGAGGUUCUGGGUUCAAAUCUGACCUCAGACACUUCCCAGCUGUGUGACCCUGGACAAGUCACUUAACCCCCAUUACCUUACCCUUACCAAUACACAGCAUUGAUUCCAAGAUGGAAGAUAAGGGUUGAAAUUUUAAAAAAACAACAACACCUUUAUCUCCCUAUCCUCUAUGUAGAAGUGGGAGAUUAUGGCAUAUACCAUCAGGCAUGAUCAUUGUUGGAUGAUUUUGUUAAAUUGUUUGUUUUGCUUUUUUGAAAUCUUUGCUUAAAAGGAUUACAGGCAGAAGUGGCUGGGUAACAUAUUGGAUAGAAAAUCAGGCCUACAGGCCGGAAGUCCAGGGUUCAAAUCUGACCUCAGACACUUUAUAGCUGUGUGACCCUAGCAAGUCACUUAACCCCAAAUGCCUAGCCCUUAACACUUUUCUACUUUUGAAAGAAGGUAAGGGUUCCUUUGUUUGUUUAAGGAUGACAGGGAGGAUAAGAGAUAGGGAGAAUAUAUUCAGAAAUUAAGGUGAUGACUUUGAAAGUCUCAGAAGGUUUAACCAACACAAUGACCAGCCAGGAUACCAGAAGGAUCAUGAUGAACCAUGCUAUCCAUCUCUUGACAGAUAAAUGAGAGACUUGGGGUACAGAAUGAAACAUCUUUUAGGGGCAUAGCCAAUAAGGGGAAUUUGUUUUUCUUGACUAUGCAUAUAUAUGUGUUUGUUUUGUUUUUCUUUAUCAUGGUGGGGAGGGGAAAAGGUGAGAAAAAAGUGGAUUUUCAUUCAUUAAAAAAUAAAACUAAUUUUUUUAAAUGAAGACAAUGUGAAAACAGAAAAUAUCCAUAAAAAUAAUUUUGAAUAUAUAACCCCAUUUCAUUAAACUCUGUAAUUGUUGUUCAAAGUUAUGUUCUAAUAAAAUCUUGUAUUUGUAACUAGAAUGAGAUAUGGCCCCUUGACAAGGCAACAACCUUCAGGCUUAAAGGUCUGAUUAGUAAGAUAAUGACAAAAUAUGAAAUUAUCUCACAUCUGACUGAUCAGAAGAGAAAAAGGAAUCCCAGAGCAUGUCUGCAAAAUUAAAUUUUUAAAAAUCUUCAAAUGAUUGAGAGAAACAUUUCUCCAGGGUUUCAUCAGGAAUACUGGACUUACUUUACUAGUAACUUUCCUCAGGACUUCUGCCCAAGGCAUGAGGAAACUGAAUAGUGAAAAGCAGGAGACAUUUUUUAAAAAAUCUCUUUUAGUAAUGGAAUUAAAAAACUCCUCCAAACACAUAUGCUCCUUUGGGCAACACUUUUCUAGAAGACCUUGGAAAGAAAAAGAGAGAAGAGUAGACUUUGAAGAAAAAGCAAUAACCAAGAAAGACUUGGAAUAAUCUAAGUUUAUGUACUAGGUCCUUUCUUGAUGAUCUCAUCUGCUCCUAAGGGUCACAUUAUUAUUACCAUGAAGGAGACCCCCAGAUCUACAUAGCCUACCCUAAUCUCAUGGCACAACUCUAGUCCCUUAUUACCGGUAGCCUGAUGUUCUUGGAUAUCCCAUUUGGAAUAUCAAACAACGUAUCCAAAAUAGAACCACUCACUUCCAACAAACUUUGCUAUUUCUAUUGAAAGCAACACUAUUCUUUGGGUCCAUAGCCUCAGAAUCAUCCGGAAUUUUUAUUUUCAUUUAUCAAUCAGUUGCCAUAUUGUGUCCAUGCCACUUCCAUGACCUUUCUCAUCUAUUUACUCUCUUCAAACUUGUUCAAUUCCUAAUCACCUCAUCAUUUCUUGAACAGUUUACUAUAAUGGCUUCCAAACUGAUCUCUGAUUUCAGCCUUUCUCCCUUCACCAAGUCAUCCUAAGGCAUAGGUCUCACUAUAUUAUGUCCUCAUCAAAAACCUAUAGGGGCUUCCUGUGGCUUCUAGGAUAAUAAGUCAUGGGAUAAAGUUUGCAUACUUAUUAGAAACCCCAAGUAACCAAUUCCAAGUACUUAAUCCAUUUUGGAAAACCCAACACUUUGGGAACUCUUUCUACAUUACUAAGUUUCAGGAACAAAAGAAUGUCAGACAAACUGUCCAGGCUUAUAUCACAAUAAAGCAAGCAAUCUAAACUGUUCAAAAGUAAAACAUUUAAAAAUUAAUAUGUAUAAGCCCCUAAAGUAUGCUCUAAGUGCAUUGCUAGACACUAUCCCAGGGGGCAACAUUCAUACCACUCAAAUGUCCACACUUGUAAUAAAAAUAUUAAUAGAUAAAUGUUCAAAACAUGCAAAAGUUAUUUGAAAGCAACUAAUCUGGGGGUACCUAGGUGAAUCAGGGGAUGAGAGCCAGGCCCAGAGAGUGGUGGUCCUGGGUUCAAAUCUUGCCUCAAGAUACUUCCUAUCCCUGUGACUCUGGACAAGUCAUUCAACCCCCAUUGCCUAAUCUUUACCACGCUUCUACCUGGGAACCAAUACACAAUAUUGAUUCUAAGGUGGAACAUGAGAGUUUAAAAAAGAACGAAAAGAAAGGAGAAAGGAAGGAAGGAAGGAAGGAAGGAAGGAAGGAAGGAAGGAAGAAAUUAGUCUGACUUAUCAAAGAAAUAUACAGAAAAAUUUAUUAAUUACUAUUUGGGAGUAAAAAAAAAAGAAAACACUAAUUUUUUCCAGUGGAUCCCAGCAGAACUAAAUGUUAGAUGCCAUACAAAGAAUCUUUCCAGUUGGUCCAAGGUAUUCUAAAUAUAUGUUGGACAAUUCUUCAUACUGGAGCAGGCCUUCUGGAAUACUCCCCAAGUCAUAACUCAUGGUCUCAGGCCCCAGGUGGCUGAAUUCAAGGUAUACCAUGAAUCUACUCUCUCAGGGCCCCCACUGGGAUGCUUAUCUUUAAUAUUUAUCCAGAAGACAAAAUUAGCCCAAAAUAAAGGCAUUUAUUGAGAUGGCAGAUCAUAAACCAUAGUGACAAAACAUUCCCCUCACCUCCUAAAUCUGAAACACAAUAUCCCACAACUAUUCAGAACAUUAAUAGUGAUGUACAUAAUAUACUGUAGUAGAGAGAAACACAUGUUGAAAACAUGGAGAACCAAGGCAACUUAUACAGCUGAUACUAUCAGAUCCCUAUGUUCCAUCCUUUCUUGUAGUAUCCUUAUGCCCUUCCUCUAGACAUAGGGUCUCUACUGGGUAGUUCUUUCAUUUGUGUUUCCUGGGUAUUUGCCUCUCUUUAGCUUAGCUUCUGACACACAGGGCUCCCACACUUGACUGAAAAAGCUUCUGUGUUCUCAUUCAUUCUCUGACUGGACCUGCUUCCUGAUAGAUGAGUAGCUCUGUGACAAGAUGGGAGUAAAAGAUACCUUCUACACUUGAAGAGAGCUUCUUGGGGAGAAGAAAUAAAUGUGAUUGGAGAGGGAUCUCCUUUGGAACUGACUCCAGAAAAGAAAGAAGGAAAAACUUUGGGAGCAGCAGACCUCCAUGAGAAGCCAAGUCCUCACCAUAUUCCAUAUUUCUAGCUUGCCACUCUGGAGACAUUGGAGAGAGUAUCUCUCAAGGGACCCUGCAUUCAGCAGAGGGAAAAAAGAACCCAUGCAAACCACUCAAGCAAGAUUUUGGCAGGAGCUGCUCCAUUUAUGACAUGCGGUCUAUCAACUAGAGAAGUGAAAGACACGUCACCGUCUGGUUUGUCCACUGAAGCAUAUUAUCGUCAAGGUGGCAUGUCGCAUGAGAAAAGCAACCUGGAGAGAGGUUUUCUUGUCACAGAAUGGCCCGCCUCAUGCUGAGCAUGACAGUGACCCUCCAUGCAAAGGAUAACAAUGCUUAUGGAAAACAAGCCGUGUCACUACAGUUCCCUGUGGAAUUUUCUAAGGAUUUUAGAGAGAAGGGACCUUCAAGAACAUUCCUCAUUUCACGGAUGAGAAAGAUGAGGACUUGAGAGGGGGCCAUAACCUGUCUGAGGAUUCUUGGGUUGGUAGUAAGUGGCAAAGACAGGAUCUGAUCUUUCAAAUCCAGUGUUCUUUCUUUUAUUCUCCAUGGUCUCCUACAAAGAGAUUACAGAGGGUGUCAGAAAUAUCCCUCUUACAUUUUAAAUCUUUCCUGUCUUUUUCCAAUUUUGUCUUCUUUAAAGUUCUGUAAUAAGUUCUAAAUAGCUACAAGCAAGAAUUCACCUAACCCAUUUCACCUCUUGACUACUCUGCUCCUUCCCUCCACUGCUUAAUGAUUAUCUGUUCUUGGUGUUUGAGAAUGAAGUUAAAGAAACAGCAUAAAAUAAUGAAAAUGGGAUAGCAGGGCACCUUUAGGCCUGAGAGACAGGCCUAAAGAUGGGAGUUCCUGGGUUCAAAUCUGGCCUCAGACACUUCCUAGAUGUAUGACGCUGGACAAGUCAUUUAACCCCCAUUUCCUAGCCCUUACUGCUCUUCUGCCUUAGAACCAAUACAUAGUAUGAUUCUAAGAUAGAAGGUAAGGGUUUUUAAAAAUAAAUAAUGAAAAAUAAAAUCAUGAAAAAAUCCUUGGCUUGGAAUUCAGAAGCAUGGCUUAGAACUAUCAUGGUGCCACUUACUUGUGAUCUUGGGGAAAUCUUAUUCUAUCUGAGCCUCAUUUUCCAUCUGUCAGAAUGGGAAUAACACCAGACAUGCCUACCUCCCACAGCUGCUAUAAGGAUUAAAUAACAUACAGACCCCUGUAUAAAGCACAUGUAUAUAUAAGUGGAUGAAUAUGCUAGCAAGUGGAUACACUAGCCCACAGUCCAGCAACGCUCCCCAGUGACCCUGCAAUCAGAUUUCAAUGGAUUUGGGAAAGAGUUAACAAAACAAAUAAAAAUACCAUAGAACACAGGUAAUUAAUACAUGGUUUUCUAAAUUAAUAUGAAGCACACAGGGACCUUUAUGUAUGAUUUAAUAGGACUAGUUGAGUUUGACAUUGCCCUAUCCUACACUGUAUAUCCUAUACCUACACUUACCCACUUGUAUAACCACUUUAUUACCUCUACUUAUGCGAUCCUUAAAUUAUAUAAUUCAAAAUAAAAAAAAAU